GUACACGCUGUGACUAGCAUAUCAAUAAGCGGAGGAAAAGAAACUAACAAGGAUUCCCCUAGUAACGGCGAGUGAAGCGGGAAGAGCUCAAAUUUGAAAUCUUCAAGGGUUUACCUUUACGAAUUGUAGUUUAAAGAAGUGUUUUCUGUUAGAGGUAUUCGGUAAAAGUUCUUUGGAAUAGGACAUCAUAGAGGGUGAGAAUCCCGUAUUUGACCUUUACUUUCUAACUUUGUGAUACACUUUCAAAGAGUCGGAUUGUUUGGGAAUGCAGUCCAAAAUGGGUGGUAAAUUUCAUCUAAAGCUAAAUAUUGGCGAGAGACCGAUAGCGAACAAGUACCGUGAGGGAAAGAUGAAAAGAACUUUGAAAAGAGAGUUAAACAGUACGUGAAAUUGUCAAAAGGGAAGCGUUUGACACCAGUGUUGUUUUUCUGAAAAUCAAUUAAAGAACUGUUUAUGCUAAGUUGUUUAGACUUUAUCAGCUAACUGUUUAGUUUUGAGCUUUUCUUUAAUGCACUUUUCAGUUAACAAGUCAACAUCAAUUUCUUUUGCUGUAAAAAAGCUUGAGGAAGGUGGCUUGAGAUUCGUCUUAAGUGUUUAUAGCCUCUUGCCUAUGCAGUCAGAGAGAUUGAGGUCUGCAGCGUAGAUCCCUCGGGGCUAAAUGCAUUUGUGCUAAGUUAUAGCAUUCUAUAGACAACUUGUUGACUAUGAUUUGUCUUGUAGCUUACUCGCUUAUGUUAUUUUACCUACGCUUAGGAUGUUGAGCGCAUGUCUCUCUCU
rnacentral:rRNA from 1 species